rnacentral:rRNA from 1 species
ACGUACUGUGCGAACGUUAUUCGGAAUCACUGGGCUUAAAGGGUGCGUAGGCGGCGAUUCAAGUCAGAUGUGAAAUGCCUGAGCUCAACUGAGGCAUUGCGUUUGAAACUGAACCGCUAGAGUAUUUCAGGGGUGUGCGGAACUGCCAGUGGAACGGUGAAAUGUGUUGAUAUUGACAGGAACACCGGAGGCGAAAGCGGCACACUGGGGAAUAACUGACGCUGAGGCACGAAAGCCAAGGGAGCGAACGGGAUUAGAUACCCCGGUAGUCUUGGCCGUAAACGAUGAGUACUGGGCGGGAGGAGGUUUCCUCUUUCUGCCGUAGCGAAAGCGUUAAGUACUCCGCCUGGGGAGUAUGGUCGCAAGGCUG